CCAAUAGCGUAUAUUAAAGUUGUUGCAGUUAAAAAGCUCGUAGUUGAACUUCGGGGUUCACCCAUUGGUCAGGCUUAAUUGUCUGUACUGGUGAGAUGAGUCUCUACCUUCUGAGGAACUUUCAUGCCAUUUAUUUGGUGUGGUUGGAAAUCAGGACUGUUACUUUGAAAAAAUUAGAGUGUUUAAAGCAGGCUAACGUCUGAAUACAUUAGCAUGGAAUAAUGAAAUAGGACGGAUUGAUUCUAUUUCGUUGGUUUCUAGGGUCACCGUAAUGAUUAAUAGGGAUAGUUGGGGGCAUUAGUAUUCAAUUGUCAGAGGUGAAAUUCUUGGAUUUAUUGAAGACUAACUACUGCGAAAGCAUUUGCCAAGGAUGUUUUCAUUAAUCAAGAACGAAAGUUAGGGGAUCGAAGACGAUCAGAUACCGUCGUAGUCUUAACCAUAAACUAUGCCGACUAGGGAUCGGACGCAGUUAAUUUUAUAAUGACGUGUUCGGCACCUUACG
rnacentral:ncRNA from 3 species